UGGGGAAUAUUGGACAAUGGGGGCAACCCUGAUCCAGCCAUGCCGCGUGAGUGAUGAAGGCCUUCGGGUUGUAAAGCUCUUUUGGCGGGGACGAUGAUGACGGUACCCGCAGAAUAAGCCCCGGCUAACUUCGUGCCAGCAGCCGCGGUAAGACGAAGGGGGCUAGCGUUGUUCGGAAUUACUGGGCGUAAAGCGAGUGUAGGCGGUUGCCGUAGUCAGGUGUGAAAGCCUUGAGCUCAACUCAAGAAAUGCACUUGAUACUGGGUGACUAGAGGACCGGAGAGGAUAGUGGAAUUCCCAGUGUAGUGGUGAAAUACGUAGAGAUUGGGAAGAACACCAGUGGCGAAGGCGGCUAUCUGGACGGUUACUGACGCUAAGACUCGAGAGCGUGGGGGAGCAAAACAGGAUUAGAUACCCCUGGUAGUCCACGCCGUAAACGAUGGGUGCUAGACGUUGGCGAGCUUGCUCGUCAGUGUCGCGGCUAACGCGUUAA
rnacentral:rRNA from 1 species